UUGGUAGACUAGGCGAUCGCCGCUGCUUCUGGUGACAGACGUAGGGGAGGAAAGUCCGGGCUACAUAGGGCAGCGUGCCAGCUAACGGCUGGGCGGGGUAACCCGACGACCAGUGCAGCAGAGAGUAGACCGCCCCGCGUAAGCGAGGUAAGGGUGAAAGGGUGCGGUAAGAGCGCACCGCGUGGCCAGCAAUGGUUCACGGCACGGUAAACUCCACGCGUAGCAAGACCAAAUAGGCAUCGGUAUGGCGCGGCCCGCGUUCGAUGCGGGUAGGUUGCUUGAGCGUAUCAGCGAUGAUGCGCCUAGACGAAUGAUCGUCCACGACAGAACCCGGCUUAUCGGUCUACCAAUUUG
rnacentral:RNase_P_RNA from 1 species